AGGGCACCACCAGGAGUGGAGCCUGCGGCUUAAUUUGACUCGACACGGGGAAACUCACCCGGCCCGGACACCGGAAGGAUUGACAGAUUGAUAGCUCUUUCUUGAUUCGGUGGAUGGUGGUGCAUGGCCGUUCUUAGUUGGUGGAGCGAUCUGUCUGGUUAAUUCCGAUAACGAACGAGACUCUAGCCUAUUAAAUAGACGUCGGGUUCUCUGCACUCGACGGUCUUCUUAGAGGGACAAGGUGCUUUUAGCACCGCGAAACAGAGCAAUAACAGGUCUGUGAUGCCCUUAGAUGUCCGGGGCCGCACGCGCGCUACACUGAAGGAAGCAGCGUGUAACAACCUUGUUCUAACGAACUGGGUAACCCGUGGAACUUCCUUCAUGAUUGGGAUAGGGGUUUGCAAUUGUGCCCCUUGAACGAGGAAUUCCCAGUAAACACUAGUCAUCAGCUCGUGCUGAUUACGUCCCUGCCCUUUGUACACACCGCCCGUCGCUACUACCGAUUGAAUGGUUUAGUGA
rnacentral:rRNA from 1 species